UUGCUUGCUUCGGCAGCACAUACAGUAAAAUUAGAACGAUACAGAGAAGAUUAGCAUGGCCACUGUGCAAGGAUGACAGGAAAAUUCAUGAAGCAUUCCAUAUUAGA
ensembl:snRNA U6 U6 spliceosomal RNA